UAUGUGUUGCUGCUCUAGAGGCCAAAGCAAAGGCAUCUACUUCACUGGACCGUCAGCCAGCCCACUAUACCGCUUCCACUACUAGUCUUCGCUAAAGGUGAUCCAUAGGAGUGACCAUGUCCAAUCAUCCAUCCAGUCUUGCACUACCGAUGCAAGGAGAAGAGUGGAGCAAUCGGUUCAAUCCGCUCCUGAUGUGAGGACGCCAGCGUGCCUCGCUUGAUUGAAUCCAUGAGAGGUGUGGGAUCGCUGCAGGUCGAUGCGUGUGAUGGGAGCCUGCGAUCGACCCCUCUACUUCGGUGAUCUCUACCCUUUCUUCCAUCUUCUCCGAGGGUAUCCAGCGCAAGGAACCCAGCGGACGUGUGGGAUGUGGGUACCCGAUCCUCGCAUGUAUGCGGCGUGUAGUCUCCCAACUUCGUGCCAGCGCCCGAACAAUGGAUCUUUUAUUCGAUCUUGUAGGCUGGUGGCCAAGGCAUGGCGAUUUGCCUAUUCAUCUCCCGAUCUCUGAUUGGGAAAUAAGACGUAUGGGAAGAUACAUGUGAUGCAUGCAAAUACAUCCUUUCCUCAUCAAGGAUUUCUUUUUUAAAUCAGCAAAGAACAUUAAUAAGCCCAUGGAAGGAAGUUCCACAAAAGUAACUCCAUGGUUGAAGAUCUAGGUGGACCGUGAUGUCCUUGUCAGUUAUCCUCCCUAUGCAUAUUCAGUUAUUGAUUUUAUACAUGUACCCUCUAUUUUUGGAAAGACAGACUCCUUUAUAGGCAGGGAAAUUCUACGUUUUUGCUUUACUAUAUUUCUGGUCCACAUUGUUUAUUUACUAUAUUUAUGGUCCAUUUAUCAUGCUCCUAUUUCAAUGUACAUAUGUUGUUGAAAUAGUUCAGUAAUCUCAUGUGUCUUGAAGGUUUGACUCCCUGCUCGAGCCUAGGAUUAUGUCAAGAUGAACAUCCACAUAACAGAUAUUGAGUGAACACUAGCAUUGACAACAAUGGCACCAACAGAACAUAGAAUAUGUUGAUCACUCGUGCAAUUGGUCACACACUUACUACAACAGUAUAGCCAUCUACCAAAUUAUAAAGUACUUUACAUAUUUCUUCAAUGCAUGACUCCAACAUAGUUGUCUCCAAAUCUAUGAGAAAAAACACCAUUGAUUGCCAGCCGACAAACACAGAAUGAUCCAAAGGCACCUAGCACAAAUGCAUCCAUCAUUUCUGUAUGUUUUACUUAUUAUGUCGUCUGCGUGCGACAACUAUCACUCAGCUGGGUGAUAGACUUUGUGUUUGCCAGUUCCAACUUACAUGUACUGUGUUUUUGAAGAAAAGUUAUACUUAUCUGAACUGAAUUAUAUGAUACUUGGAUCUCUACAAUCAACCUUAUUUAUACUCUAAAGUGAUGUUUGGCUUUGCGACAUUACGA